CAGUAGGCCACCCAUCAUCACAGCCAUCGUGAUCGACUGGUCCAAAUCACAGACCUCCAGGGUCACUGCAUUGAAAUGAUUGAUGAAAGUGCGGAUUGACUCGCCCUCUCUCUGCUUGAUGGUGUGGAGGUAGUUGGACUUCUUCUACUGUCAUCGGUUACUGACAAAAUGAUCGAUGAAUGCCUAACAUAACUCUUCAAAAUAGUGGACAGAUAUGUUAGAUGUGUGCCCUAGAUGCCAGAUUGGCUGACACAUUCCUGUACAAAUCAAAGGAC
rnacentral:lncRNA from 1 species